CGAACGCUGGCGGCAUGCUUACCACAUGCAAGUCGCGCGGGUGGUUUCGGCCAUCAGCGGCGGACGGGUGAGUAUCGCGUAGGAAUGUAUCCCGAGGUGGGGGACAACCCUGGGAAACUGGGGCUAAUACCGCAUGGGGCCUGUGGGUCAAAGCCUUAGGGCGCCUUGGGAGCAGCCUGCGUCCGAUUAGGUAGUUGGUGGGGUAAAGGCCUACCAAGCCUGCGAUCGGUAGCUGGUCUGAGAGGACGAUCAGCCACACUGGGACUGAGACACGGCACAGACUCCUACGGGAGGCAGCAGUGGGGAAUAUUGGACAAUGGGCGCAAGCCUGAUCCAGCAAUGCCGCGUGGGUGAAGAAGGUCUUCGGAUUGUAAAGCCCUUUCGGCGGGGACGAUGAUGACGGUACCCGCAGAAGAAGCCCCGGCUAACUUCGUG
rnacentral:rRNA from 1 species